UAGUCCACACCGUAAACGAUGAAUGCCAGUCGUCGGGUAGUAUACUAUUCGGUGACACACCUAACGGAUUAAGCAUUCCGCCUGGGGAGUACGGUCGCAAGAUUAAAACUCAAAGGAAUUGACGGGGGCCCGCACAAGCGGUGGGGCAUGUGGUUUAAUUCGAAGCAACGCGCAAAACCUUACCAACCCUUGACAUCCUGUGCCACACGGAGAGAUCCGUCGUUCCCUUCGGGGACGCAGUGACAGGUGCUGCAUGGCUGUCGUCAGCUCGUGCCGUGGGAUGUUGGGUUAAGUCCCGUAACGAGCGCAACCCCUAUCAUUAGUUGCCAUCAGGUUAAGCUGGGAACUCUAAUGAGACUGCCGUCGCAAGACGUGAGGAAGGCGGGGAUGAUGUCAAGUCAGCAUGGCCUUUAUGCCUAGGGCUACACACGUGCUACAAUGGAUGGUACAAUGGGCAGCAACACAGCGAUGUGAAGCAAAUCUCAAAAAACCAUUCUCAGUUCGGA
rnacentral:rRNA from 1 species